rnacentral:rRNA from 1 species
AGCGAACGCUGGCGGCAGGCUUAACACAUGCAAGUCGAAGGUGAGGUCGGACUUCGGUCCGGCUGAAACUGGCGCACGGGUGAGUAACGCGUGGGGAUAUGCCCAAAGGUACGGAAUAACCGUUGGAAACGACGGCUAAUACCGUAUGCUCCCUCAGGGGAAAAGCUUCGGCGCCUUUGGAUUAUCCCGCGUCCGAUUAGCUUGUUGGUGAGGUAACGGCUCACCAAGGCUUCGAUCGGUAGCUGGUCUGAGAGGACGAUCAGCCACACUGGGACUGAGACACGGCCCAG